rnacentral:rRNA from 1 species
CAAAGGUUAAUUCCGGUGGCGGAUGGGCAUGCGUCGCAUUAGUUAGUUGGCGGUGUAACGGACCACCAAGACGACGAUGCGUAGGGGUUCUGAGAGGAAGGUCCCCCACACUGGUACUGAGACACGGACCAGACUCCUACGGGAGGCAGCAGUGAGGAAUAUUGGUCAAUGGGCGGGAGCCUGAACCAGCCAAGUCGCGUGAGGGAUGACGGCCCUAUGGGUUGUAAACCUCUUUUGCCGGGGAGCAAAGUGCCGCACGUGUGCGGUUUGGAGGGCACCCGGAGAAAAAGCAUCGGCUAACUCCGUGCCAGCAGCCGCGGUAAUACGGAGGAUGCGAGCGUUAUCCGGAUUUAUUGGGUUUAAAGGGUGCGUAGGCGGACGCUUAAGUCAGCGGUAAAAUUGCGGGGCUCAACCUCGUCAAGCCGUUGAAACUGGGUGCCUUGAGUGGGCGAGAAGUACGCGGAAUGCGUGGUGUAGCGGUGAAAUGCAUAGAUAUCACGCAGAACUCCGAUUGCGAAGGCAGCGUACCGGCGCCCAACUGACGCUGAAGCACGAAGGCGUGGGUAUCGAACAGGAUUAGAUACCCUGGUAGUCCACGCAGUAAACGAUGAAUGCUAGUUGUCCGGGGCGAUUGAGUUCUGG